GCGGCCCUGGAGGCCUGGGGUGGGAAACUGCGUGUGCCACUGUGGUCUGGAGCCUGCACAGGCGUCUCAACAGCAUCUAGGAGCGCAAGGACGGCAAGGGGGUGUGAAAGGGAGGGAGACCGUGCCCCAAGAUCAAGCCUGUGGGAAAGUUGUCCUGCAAGUGUGAGGAAUGUGAGCUCCAGUGUCCCCAGGUCUUCUCGGGGCCCCUGGCAGGGAUGUCAGUGUUAGGUGGAAGUGUGACUCAGUGACUGAUGUACUUCAUUCGCAUAGGGUGUAAAUGAGGGAACGAUGACUUCCCUACAGGAGAGGAAAAGUCUUUUGGGGGUUCUGGGGUGGCUACUUCCCUUUGAUGGAGUUUCUUCUUCUCCAGUAGAAGAGCCACGUGCUGGAGCCAUUGUCCAGCCUUGCCCUGGAGGAGCAGUGUCUGGCUUUGUCCCUAGAUUGGUCCACUGGGAAAACUGGAAGGGCCGGGGACCAGCCCUUGAAGAUCAUCAGCAGUGACUCCACAGGGCAGCUUCACCUCCUGAUGGUGAAUGAGACGGGGCCCAGGCUGCAGAAAGUGGCCUCAUGGCAGGCACAUCAAUUCGAGGCCUGGAUUGCUGCUUUCAAUUACUGGCAUACAGAAAUUGUGUAUUCAGGGGGCGACGAUGGCCUUCUGAGGGGCUGGGACACCAGGGUACCCGGCAAAUUUCUCUUCACUAGCAAAAGACACACCAUGGGCGUGUGCAGCAUCCAGAGCAGCCCCCAUCGGGAGCACAUCCUGGCCACGGGAAGCUAUGAUGAGCACAUCCUACUGU
rnacentral:sRNA from 1 species